GGGGUGAGGACAGUGUCUGGUGGGUAGUUUGACUGGGGCGGUCUCCUCCCAAAGAGUAACGGAGGAGCACGAAGGUUAGCUAAUCACGGUCGGACAUCGUGAGGUUAGUGCAAAGGCAUAAGCUAGCUUGACUGCGAGAGUGACGGCUCGAGCAGGUACGAAAGUAGGUCUUAGUGAUCCGGUGGUUCUGAAUGGAAGGGCCAUCGCUCAACGGAUAAAAGGUACUCCGGGGAUAACAGGCUGAUACCGCCCAAGAGUUCAUAUCGACGGCGGUGUUUGGCACCUCGAUGUCGGCUCAUCACAUCCUGGGGCUGAAGUAGGUCCCAAGGGUAUGGCUGUUCGCCAUUUAAAGUGGUACGCGAGCUGGGUUUAGAACGUCGUGAGACAGUUCGGUCCCUAUCUGCCGUGGGCGUUGGAAGAUUGAGAGGGGUUGCUCCUAGUACGAGAGGACCGGAGUGAACGCACCACUGGUGUUCGGGUUGUCAUGCCAAUGGCAUUGCCCGGUAGCUAAGUGCGGAAAAGAUAAGCGCUGAAAGCAUCUAAGCGCGAAACUUGCCUCAAGAUGAGUCUUCCCU
rnacentral:rRNA from 2 species